rnacentral:misc_RNA from 1 species
GAAGUUGGUGAUCCUUUCAGUUUGUUUAUGUGUUUUGCUUAUGAACAUGUCUAUGGUAGUUUUCUUUUUGUCCGUUUUUGUUUUCCGGCGCCUGAUUUGAUUUGCUUUUAACAUAGAGUAGGAAAAUUUAGUCUCUCCCUUUGCGGUAAACUGUAGAUGGGUUGGUUUCUUUGUGACUUUUUGGGUGGUUCCUUUUCAGAUUUUCUUGCUUUGCAUUGAAGUUGUAAGAUGCUAAAAAAAAUUUUUAUAAAUUUAUUAUGGAAUUACGAAUAUAUUGCUAAAAUUAUAAAAUGUUUGGCCUUUUUUUUUUUACU